GUUAUCAAGAAAGGUGGAGGGAUUAGACCCAUUGAAGCCUUAGCAACCCUUAGACUUACUAAGAAGGUGCUAAAUUCUACUUAAUUUUC
rnacentral:ncRNA from 1 species